GACGAACCGUCCAAACGUUAUUCGGAAUCACUGGGCUUACAGAGUUCGUAGGCGGUCUGGAAAGUUGGGUGUGAAAUCCCUCGGCCUAACCGAGGAACUGCGCUUGAAACUACCAGACUCGAGGGAGAUAGAGGAAAGCGGAACUGAUGGUGGAGCGGUGAAAUGCGUUGAUAUCAUCAGGAACACCGGUGGCGAAGGCGGCUUUCUGGGUCUUACCUGACGCUGAGGAACGAAAGCUAGGGGAGCGAACGGG
rnacentral:rRNA from 1 species